rnacentral:lncRNA from 1 species
GUGGUAGGAAUGGAUUGUGAAAUGCAUGUAUAUUCCCAGUGGCAGCCAUCUUCUAAACAAGAACCUGUUAUAACAGAUUCAUGCAAUGGGAGCACUCCGUCUAUACUAAGUUUAAUAAAACAGAGUAACUCAUCAAGUUCUGGGUUACAUCCUCCAAAGAAAACGCUGACUCGAUCUAUGACCAGUCUUGCACAGAAAAUUUGUGGAAAGAAAACUGUAUUUGAUCCUUCAGUGGAUAUGGAAGAUUCAGGUCUUUUUGAAGCAGCUCAUGUACUGUCCCCAACUUUACCUCAGUACCAUCCCUUGCAACUUUUGGAACUCAUGGAUCUUGGCAAAGUUCGAAGAGCAAAGGCCAUCUUGUCACAUCUUGUCAAGUGCAUUGCUGGGGAAGUUGUGGCUCUGAAUGAAACUGAAUCCAAUCAUGAACGCCGCCUAAGGUCUCUCACCAUUAGUGCUAGUGGAAGCACUACCAGAGAUCCCCAGGCAUUCAACAAAGCUGAAAAUAUAGAUUACACUCAAAUAGAUUCUGUCCCUCCACUUCCGUUAUAUGCCUUACUUGCAGCUGAUGAUGAUAGCUGUUAUUCAUCUUUGGAGAAAUCUAAUAAUGAGAGUUUUUUUAAAUAAAUCAAGC